ACUUCCCUUGCCAUCUCAUCUUGGCCCCUCCCUUGUGCGCUGCGUGGGCGUACCUGGUUCAAAAAGCGGCGGAAAAGUACAAAAUGAAAUGGAUACAUGAGAAAAAAAGAAAAUUCCAAUUCAAAAAUUUGCCGCUAUGUGCCCCGGCCUCAGUGAUAGGUGCUCCCUUAUUAUUGUCUAUAAGGAAGUGUUUAAUCCCCGAAAGUAAAAGCUUCCGCCUGCCACCAAAUGAAAGGUCUCUUGUCUCAGGGUAAUACAAAAUGUUGGGAACAGAUUACUUACUGGAAUAGCUGCGUGUUUUGAGGAUGACGGCGACGAGUUGGAUGAGGUCGGUGGUGAAGUUGGUGGGCGGGGUGUAGAGGAGGUGGAGGGUGCCCUGGAGGAAGGGCUCCUGGAAGAGGGUCUGCUCGCUUACCGGCGGGAAGAACGUUUCGUUCUUGCGCACACUCUGCCCGAAGACCGUCGGGUAGGACUUCUUGGCGUAGACCACCGCGUAGAACAGGAGCAGCGGCACCGCCACCUCGCCCACCGUGAACAGCCAGUGCCGCGCCCGGAACCGCACGUUCUUGUACGUCAGGAUCCACAGCGCCCGCAGAAAUCCCAUCCUUGCGUCACGACUAGGGUGCCUCUGACGACACAACCGGGGUAACAACUGCCGUCGUAGUUAGGGCAACUCUUGAUGUCACACCCGAAACAACGCUUGAUAUCACAGCCUGGAUGACUCUUGAUGUCACAGUCGGAACAACUCUUGAUGUCACAGCCUGGAUGACUCUUGAUGUCACAGUCGGGACAACUCCAGGCGUUCCACCUCAGACGACGCUUGAUGUCACAACAGGAGCAACUCUUGAUGUCACAGCCUGGAUGACUCUUGAUGUCACAGUCGGGACAACUCCAGGCGUUCCACCUCAGACGACGCUUGAUGUCACAACAGGAGCAACUCUUGAUGUCACAGCCUGGAUGACUCUUGAUGUCACAGUCGGGACAACUCCAGGCGUUCCACCUCAGACGACGCUUGAUGUCACAACAGGAACAACUCUCGACGUCAAAGCGAGGUUGGCUUCUGGAGUCAGAGCCUGGGCAACCUUUAACGUCACAGCCCAAAUAACUCUAGAUGUAACAGCCGAAACAACUCCAGACGUCUAAGCCCGGACGACUCUUGACGUGACAAUCGGAACCACUCUCGACGUCACAGCGAGGUUGGCUCCUAGAGUCAUAAAUUGGGUACCGUAACUUCUGACGUCGCAGCCGGAAGUGUCGUCACAGAGAAAAUGUUUGAUGUUACAACCAGUGUAGGUAAUCCUGACUUCACUGCCGUGAGAAAUUGGACGUCGCGAAAGGGGUACCGUAACUCCUGACGUCCAGGGUAACUCCACGCUUUGCGGACCGGCACUUCCUGACGUUACGACCGAACACUUCUGACGUCAUAACUAGGGUAACUCCUAACGGCUUAACUGGAGUAACUCUUUGAGUCACAACUCGAAAAAUUCUGGACGUUAAGAUAGGGGUAACGUCUGGCGUCUUAGUCACUGCAACUCGGGAUAAGUACAAAAUCGGCUGGUCAGAGCCUCAGAGGGUCGUGCCACUUUCUUGAUCGGUUUGCUUUAAACGGCACCUUUGGGGAGGGAAAAAAGAAUAAAAAAAUAAAUCAAUAAAAGAUAUACAUAAUAAAAUUAAAAAAUAAUAAACAAGAAUGAAAGGUAGAUUGAAAGAGGGCUAGUCGACUUAUUUUUGGACUUUUAGGAAACCGGCUCUUAGAAGCAACGACUAUUGAAAGAAAGAGUUAAGGCAACUCGUAAAUUUGGAAGUGACAAUUUUUCUCUUUUCUUUUAGAAAAAAAAAUUAAUACAUUUUUGGAAAUUUUGGAACGCCGAAAUAAUCCGUAUCCGGUUUACGUAAUAUCACGGUCUGUACGUUGUGCGGGAGAGCGGACAGAGCCUUAAAAAAUAGAAUCACAUAGGUAAUACUAGACAAUUCCCUUUCAUAAUUUUCCAGCAACGGAAAUAUUUGUGUUUCGUUCCUUCUUCCAAUUUGCCUUUCAGACGUAUAAAUGAUAACCAAACGAUAACGAGAAAGAGAACAUAAGUAAUAAACACAAACGAAAACCAUCAAAAACGAAAAAUACACAAAACAGAAACGAAAAACUCUGAAUAAAAGAAGGGAGGGAUCAUCCUCCGUCGUCUUUAUGAGCGAAAAGAGAGGAUUGACGUUCAAAAAGAACGCUAUUUUCUCACUUAAGAGCAGAACUUGAAAGUUUCCGAUGCGUUCAUUGUAAGUGCUUUACGUAAAAUUUCGAGGAGGCAUCAUAGAGGGUGUUUCAAAAUGUUGAAUUCGAACAUCGAAAAACGACGAAACACGUGUUUAGUAUUUUCGAACGGGCCCAAAAGUGUAAUAGUACGAAAAAAUAUGCCCCUCAAAAAUAUUAAACACGUAAUACGGCGUUUUUCGAUACUCGAAUUAGUUCAAGAUAUGCAAGGUGGAUAAUUUCUUUUAAAAAACUAUGCAGUAUCGAAGUGUUUGAUUUUGUACCUAGACAGGUGGACCGUUUGGGAAAAACUGAUUUCCCCCACAAAUUAAGACUUUUAAUAUGUAAAUAAGUUACAAAUUACUCGGUUGUUUGCAUAUACUCUCCUUUAGUAAUGACAGGUGGUGAAAUGGUGCGGGGUCCACACCAUUUUAUGGGGGACAAAGAGCCAAGAAAUUCCAAAAAUGUUUCAAUUACUUUGAAUCAAAAUUGUUUUGCUCUGAUGAAUAGCAGUACAAGACUAAGAGGGGAGAGUGUUCAGCUCAGGCAGCUUGCAUUCGUUGCUUCUCGUUUAGUAAUAAUUUAUAGACAAUGUGUAUAAUUCUGUGCAACAAUAAAUUUUUUUUUUUUUUUUUUAAAGAAAAAGAAAAAAAAGACAAGCUAGAUGCGCGCAUUGAAAACAUUUUUACUCCCACUACACUGAUUCCACACGAAUAAAAUUCCACCGUACCUUUCCUACACUCGCUGCGAACUGGCCGAUUACGAGUAUUCAAAGUGUCAUGUUGCGUAGGAUAUCCUUCACGUAUGCACACAAAACCCUUCAAAUUUAAAAAAUCGAUGAUUCAAAAGGAGAAAAAAGUUUAAGAUAAAGCAAAGGCCGCGCUAAAACAAUCGAGGUUGCGAGAGCGAAGAUUUAAUAAGUACCUGUGAAGUGUACUUCGGCAGGCGCUAUCACUGAACUUUCAUUGAGUGGCAGGAUUAAUAAUUCCGAUUAUUUGUUUUUGUAAGAUUUAUUUUUUAUUUUUUUUUAUUAUUUUUAGAUUUAUUAUUAUUAAUAUUAUUAACCCGAACGUGGUUAGAUGAGAUGGAUAAAAACUCUCAGAGUUCGUGAAAUUUAAAAAUCAAGAAAAAUAACUCGAGUGAUGGCCGGAGCUGUUACACUUUAAGACACUAACGGAUCCGAUUCUGUCGAUACACUGAUCGGUCGCGAUCGAUGCGACCGUCCGUUGAAAAUUUAUCACCCCCCCCCUUCUCGUAGGGCUCCCUGCGCUGGCGGUGGGGGAGGAGGCGGAGGGUGCCCCAUGAAUGAAGAGAAAUUCCGGAUUUCAGUGGAAAACCGUAAAUAGACAUCUCCCUAAGCGACACUUUCCAGCUAAUCAGAUUUAUGCAUGCGUUGCUGAAUUUUAUGGUUUGGGCAAUAAGUCUUUCUCAGAUAUUUGCAGACAUAGAGGCUGUAAAAGCAAAAUGAAACACAACUAAAGAACAAAUUGCCUGAGGCUUUUAACACCCCUGCAAGUACAUUAUCCAUCAUUAUUACAAAAUGAUAUUUUUCACUUUUUAUUUCAAUUUG
rnacentral:lncRNA from 1 species